GUGAGGUAACGGCUCACCAAGGCAUCGACGGGUAGCUGGUCUGAGAGGAUGAUCAGCCACACUGGGACUGAGACACGGCCCAGACUCCUACGGGAGGCAGCAGUGGGGAAUAUUGCACAAUGGGCGCAAGCCUGAUGCAGCGAUGCCGCGUGCGGGAUGAAGGCCCUAGGGUUGUAAACCGCUUCCAGCAGGGAAGAAAAUGACGGUACCUGCAGAAGAAGGUGCGGCCAACUACGUGCCAGCAGCCGCGGUGACACGUAGGCACCAAGCGUUGUCCGGAUUUAUUGGGCGUAAAGAGCUCGUAGGCGGUUCAGUUAGUCGGGUGUGAAAACUCUGGGCUCAACCCAGAGACGCCACCCGAUACUGCUGUGACUAGAGUACGGUAGGGGAGUGGGGAAUUCCUGGUGUAGCGGUGAAAUGCGCAGAUAUCAGGAGGAACACCAGUGGCGAAGGCGCCACUCUGGGCCGUAACUGACGCUGAGGAGCGAAAGCAUGGGUAGCAAACAGGAUUAGAUACCCUGGUAGUCCAUGCCGUAAACGUUGGGCACUAGGCGUGGGUCUCAACCAACGAGAUCCGCGCCGUCGCUAACGCAUUAAGUG
rnacentral:rRNA from 1 species